rnacentral:rRNA from 1 species
GGGCCCGCACAAGCGGUGGAGUAUGUGGUUUAAUUCGAUGCAACGCGAAGAACCUUACCUGGGCUCGAAUGGAUUUGGACCGUUCCUGAAAGGGAACUUCUCUUCGGAGCUGAAUUCAAGGUGCUGCAUGGUUGUCGUCAGCUCGUGCCGUGAGGUGUUGGGUUAAGUCCCGCAACGAGCGCAACCCCUAUUCUUAGUUACCAGCACGUAAUGGUGGGACUCUAGGAAGACUGCCGGCGUAAAGCCGCGAGGAAGGUGGGGAUGACGUCAAAUCAUCAUGGCCUUAUGCCCAGGGGCUACACACGUGCUACAAUGGAGGGUACAGAGGUAGCGAAGCGCGAGGUGGAGC